rnacentral:lncRNA from 1 species
UGUUUUAUUGUUUUGUUUUAUUGUUUUNNNNNNNNNNGUUUUAUUGUUUUGUUUUAUUGUUUUGUUUUAUUGUUUUAUUGUUUUAUUGUUUUAUUGUUUUGUUUUAUUGUUUUAUUGUUAUUUUUUUUUUUAUUUUUUUGAAGUGAGAAGGAUAUUAUAUUAUAGACAUAUAUUAAUAGUACUAUAAUAAACUAGAUAUGCAUGCACUUGUUCAUACUAAUAGGAAGCAGUCAUGUUUAGAAGGCAAAGGGUGUAUACAUAAUGAAAAGAUGUUUACAAUGAUUAAUAAGGAAAAUAACAAUAUGAGUAAUUUUUAUUUACAACAUAAAAGGAACAUAUUUUAUAAAAAUUUUAUUAAGUCGUUUAACAAUAUUAGUAGUGAUAACAAUAAUAAUAAUAAUAAUAAUAAUAACAGUGAUAAUACUAGGUUGUUAUUUACGAAAAAAAAAUUAUUAAAAGUUAACAAAACUUUUGAUGAAAAUUGGACUAAACAUAAGAAACCAUAUCACAUAGAGAAAAAUAUAUAUUUUUUUUUUGGUUGUAUUACUUCAUUAUGUAGUGUCUUUGUUUAUGAUUUAUUUAAAAAUAGAUACUUUCAAAUAACAGCGAAUCUUUUUUUUUUAAUUUAUAAUUUUACUGGUCGGAGAGUAAAUAUAUUAGCUUGUGCACUACAUUUAAUUUUUAUUAUUUUACAAAUUUGUAUCUUAUCGAAUAAGUUAAAUGUUAAUUUAGAAGAAUGGCAUAUAUAAGAAUGUGAGUUUGAGAGAAUAAACAUAUAUAUAUCCUUUUUUUUUUUAUUUUU